rnacentral:piRNA from 1 species
CAGUCUGUGAUUUCCAGAUCUUAAGGUGG